rnacentral:rRNA from 1 species
GUUGAACGCUGGCGGCGGGCCUAAUACAUGCAAGUCGAGCGAAAAGACGAGGCGCUUUCCUCCCUGGCGGACGCGGCGGGCGGGUGAGUAACACGUGGAUAACAUACCUCUAAGACUGGGGUAACUUAGUGAAACCGGUGCCAAUAACGGCUAAUCUAUGCAACAGCAUAGAUCAGUAGUGAAAGACGUCUUUCCUUUCACUUAUCGAUGAAGCCGCGCCGCAUUAGCUAGUUGGUAAGGUAACGGCUUACCAGGGCAACCAUGCGUCGCCGAGCUUAGAGGGUGAUCCGCCACACUGGAACUGAGACCAGGUCCAGACUCCCAAGGGAGGGAGCAGUAGGGAAUUUUCGGCAAUGGGCGGAAGCCUGAAGGAGCAACGCCGCGUGAGUGAUGAAGGUCUUUGGAUCGUAAAACUCUGUUAUGAGGGAAGAAAAAAUGUGUAAGUAACUAUGCACGUCUUGACGGUACCUAAUAAGAGAGGCACGGCUUACUACGGG